rnacentral:lncRNA from 9 species
AUCUGGCGUUGCCAUGAGCUGUGGUGUAGGUCGAAGAUACAGCUUGGAUCCCGUGUGGCUGUGGCUGUGGUGUAGGCCAGCAGCUGUAGCUCUGAUAAGACUCCUAGCCUAGGAACCUCCACAUGCCACGGGUAGGGACCUAAAAUGACAAAAGACAAAAAAAAAGAAAGACAAAUAGUAUAUAAUUUCAUUGCUCUGAAUUAAUAGUCAAAUUCACUGAGACAGAAAGUAGAAUAGCGGGGAGUUCCCACUGAGGCACAGCAGGCUAAGAACCUGAUAUACUGUCCUUGAGGAUGUGGGUUCGAUCCCUGGUCUCACUCAGUGAGUUCAGAAUCCAGUAUUCCAUGAGCUGCAGUGUAGGUCACAGACAUGGCUUGGAUCUGGUGUUGCUGUGGCUGUGGCGUAGGCCUCAACUGCAGCUCUGGGAUUCAACCCCUAGCCCAGAAACUUUCAUAGGCCGCAGGUGCAGCUCUAAAAAUAAAAGAAAAAAAAUUAAUUAAAAAAAUAGAAUAGGAGUUCCCGUCGUGGCUCAGCAGAAAUGACUCUGACUAGCAUCCAUGAAGACACAGGUUCGAUCCCUGGCCUUGCUCAGUGAAUUAAGGGUCCUGCAUUGCUGUGGCUGUGGUGUAGGCCGGCAGCUAUAGCUCCAACUUGAUCCCUAGCCUGGGAACCUCCAUAUGCUGCGGGUGUGGCCCUAAAAAGACAAUAAAUAAAUAAAUAAAUAAAUAAAAUUAAAAAUAAAAUAAGUUAAAAAAGAAAGAGAAAGAAUGGCAGGUCCCAGGGACUGGGGAAGGGGAAGUGGGGAGCUCAUGUUUAAUGCACAAGAAGCUGGGGUUGGGGAAGAUGAAGAAGUUCUGGGAAUGGAUGUCGUCAUGGUUGUAUAAUAAGGUGAAUAUAUUUAAUGCUCUUGAACUGUACACUGAAAAAUGGUUAGAAUGGAAAAUUUUGCUUAUGUGUGUUUUCCCCUCCCCACCGCCCCUCGCACCCACAAAGUUCCCUUUUCUCUGGAGGAGACCUUGAGUAAUACCCAUGCCCAAAGCUUCCCCCAACUGGUUUCUGAUCUUAGGAAGGGGACGGCUCCAGAAAUAGCCCUGUCCCUGGUUCUUCAAGCUAAGACAUGCCAACCUAAGGCCUCCUUCAUCCGGAAUGGGCACGGUUCCAGGGGAGGGAGGUGGUUUUCUACCUCUAUGCAGUGGGCGGUCUUGGCAGCGGGCAGGUGCAGCCAGCCUCCCUGGGAAAAAAAAGUCUCAACUGUAGAAAUUGGAUGGCUCCCGAGAUGUGUUUUAAGUCACUGCAGUCGUUACACAAGAUCUUUCCUGAGCAUCUCAUUCGUUGUAUCUAAAGAGCUGCCUUUCUCUCUUUACAACGUGUCUGCAUGGACUUGGGAGGAGUAAGAACGGGGAGAGAGAGUCUGGAUCAAGUCAAGACUGAAUCGUCAGGUCCUGGGAAGGUGCCACCACUUCUCAAGGAGUCCAGCUUGUUGCUUCCAAGUGAAGUCCCCUCCUUGGAGGAACAAGUGCUUUCAAGAAAGCUCACAGUGGGCCAUAGACUGUCACCCACUUUCUGCUGCCACCCAGCCACGCAGCUCAAAGGGAUGCCAUUAUUCAGCACAGCUAUGUCAGCAGUGGGUGUGGGGCCUGAGCUGUGCCCCCUGCCCCUUCACCCCCCACACACACACACAAAGAAGUAGGUUGAAGCCCUAAGCCCUGGUGCCAGCGAAUGUGGCCUUAUUGGAAAUGUGAUCAAGUUCAGACCCAUCAACGGUGUCAGAUGAGCCCUGGGUCCAUGAGCUGUGUCCUUGGGAGAAGAUGCAGAUGGGGCUCUGACAGCCCAGGAAGACAAGGCUGGUAGGCAGCCACCAGAAACCAGGGAGAGGCCAGCAAGGAGCUUCCUCCAAAACCCCAAGAAGGAACCAGUGGGGUGGACACCUCGAUUUCAGACUUCUGGCAUCCACAAGUGUGGGGCACUAAUUCUGUUGUUGCUGUUGUUGUUGUUUUAUGGCCACACCUGUGAGAUAUGCAAGUUCCCCAGCCAGGGAUUGAAUUUGAGCUGCAGCUGUGACCUGCAGCACAGCCAGAUCCCUUAAACCACUGAGCCGGGCUGGGGAUCAAACCUGAGCCUCGGCAGCAACCUGGAGCUACUGUAGUUGGAUCCAUUCCUUUCCUUUCCUUUGUCUUUUGAGGGCCACACCCCCAGCAUAUGGAAGUUCCCAGGCUAGAAGUUGAAUCGGAGCUGCAGCUGCCAGUCUAUGCCACAGCCACAGCAACUCAGGAUCUGAAAUGUGUCUUUGACCUACACCACGGCUCACCGCAACGCUGGAUCCUUAACCCACUGAGCGGGGCCAGCAUCCUCAUGGAUACCAGUUGAGUGCAUAACCACCUAGCAAUAGGGGGAACUCCGUGCCAUUGGAUUCUUAAUCACUGCACUGCAGCAAGAACUCCUAAUUUCUGUUGCUUUAAACCACCCGGUCUGCAGUGCUUUGGGACAGCAGCCAUUCAACACAAAUGCCCUGAGUGAGGCCCUGAAAGACCCCUUUUGAUCACUUGCAUAUGCAAAAGCAGCCGCCUAGCUGGUCUGCGUCCUUCUUUGCUAAUCUUUGCAUCUUUCAUCUCAUUUGAGCUUCAGAUCUGAGGAAGACCCAGCAAGGCCCUGUUGGGAUUGAACUGGCUCCGCAGGGAACAAAACGAGAUGUCUCCUCCCCAGCCCACCCUCCCAGCAAGGUCUUUUAGAGCAGAGCAGAGCAAAACAAGAAGAAACUGAUGCCAUGCGUGGGGUUUACAGGGGCUGGGGGAGGGAGAGAAGGUUCUAUCCAGGGCAGACCAGACGCCCUGCUGGGAGCCAGGCAGAGGAUACCUCAUCCUCGCCCACAUGAGAUGAGGGCCAGGGGGCCAGCCCUGCGCGUGCUGUAUACACACCAAGAUUCCAGCUCAGGUCUCCUCACUCCAACGAUUACACAAGAUUCUCCAUGGCCUGGUGCCUCAGUGUCUCCCUCCAGGGUCUCAGCGUGACUCCAUAACUAUAGCAGUGCCUCUUAAAGUCCCAGCAAAAAUCAGAUGGUCUGGGCACCUGUUAGAACCCCCACCACUCCCCCGCCCCAGGGUUUUGGAUGCAGUGGUCUGGUAGGACCCAGACUCUGUGCCGCUAACAAACACACCUCCGGGAUGGUGAGAGGUGGGUCCAGCUUCCAGGGGUGAGGACCAUUAGUUGAUUUGAACAUGGGACAGCAACUGGUGUGGGCCGAGCCCUGGCGUCCCCCCCCUCAAUGGAGGGAAGGGAAGGGGGGUAGUAAACCUUCUCUCCUGCACUGCCCUCCCCUCCCCAGCCCCCUCCUGACCUGUGCUUCCUGCCAGCUGCCUCCACGGGCAGUAACUCAGUGCUCUAACCCAUACCCUCCACCACCCUCUGUCCUUCUGUACCCAGAUGGCCAUUUCCCUGUUUGUCCCCAGUGAGUGGUGGAUUCAUGAGAUAAAGAGGCCCAGAGGAGUUCCCGUCAUGGUGCAGUGGUUAACGAACCCGACUAGGAACCAUGAGGUUGCGGGUUCGGUCCCUGGCCCCGUUCGGUGGGUUAACGAUCUGGUGUUGCCGUGAGCUGUGGUGUAGGUUGCAGACGCGGCUCCGAUCCUGCGUUGCUAUGGCUCUGGCGUAGGCCAGUGGCUACAGCUCCGAUUCGACUCCUAGCCUGGGAACCUCCAUAUGCCGAGGGAGCGGCCCAAGAAAUGGCAAAAAGACAAAAAAAAAAAAAAAAAAGAGUCACAGAGGUGGUGUUCACAGAAGCAGAUGUGCCCGCCAGGGGAUGCCAUCUUUUCUUCCAUGUUUGCUUGACCACGCUGCACCUUCUUUUUGGAAUUUUUGGGCUGUACAUUGUGCAAGGAGGUGAACUAGGUCCACGUAAAAUUCAUGUGUUAUGGAGUUCCCUUCGUGGCUCUGUGGUAACGAACCUGACUAGGAUCCAUGAGGAUGCAGGUUCAAUACCCAGCCUCGCUCAGUGGGUUAAGGAUGCAGAGUUGCCCUGAGCUAUGGCGUAGGUCGCAGAUGAGGCUUGGAUCCCAAGUUGCGUGGCUGUGGUGUAGGCUGGCAGCUGUAGCUCCUAUUGGACCCCUAGCCUGGGAGCCUCCAUAUGCUGCAUGGGUACAGCCCUAAAAAACCCAAACAAACAAAAAAUUCGUGUGUUGUGUUCUUGACCUCUGGUCCCUCACAAUGUGACUGUGUUUGGAGAAGGAUUUUAAAGAGGGCACUAAGGUAAAAUGAGGUCACUGGGGGGGGGCCCUCCUCUGAUAUGACAGGUGUCCUUAUAAGAAGAGGGGAUCAGGGAGUGCCUGCUGUGGCUCAGCAGAAAUGAAUCUGACCAGCAUCCAUGAGGACGCAGGUUCGAUCCCUGGCCUCGCUCAGUGGGUUAAGGAUCUGGCAUUGCCCCUGAGCUGUGGUGUAGGUCACAGACGUGGCUCGGAUCCUGUGUUGCUGUGGCUGUGGUGGAGGCCGGCAGCUGCAGCUCUAAUUCCACCCCUAGCCUGGGAACUUCCAUAUGCCGCAGGGGCAGCCCUAAAAAAAUUAAAAAGUAAUAAAUUAGAAAAAAUAAAAGUG